UUGAUCCUGCCAGUAGUCAUAUGCUUGUCUCAAAGAUUAAGCCAUGCAUGUCUCAGUACAAGCCUCAUUAAGGUGAAACCGCGAAAGGCUCAUUAAAUCAGUUAUGGUUCCUUAGAUCGUACCCACAUUUACUUGGAUAACUGUGGUAAUUCUAGAGCUAAUACAUGCAAACAGAGUUCCGACCGGAGACGGGAGGAAUGCUUUUAUUAGAUCAAAACCAAUCGGCGGCGGGCGCGUCCGCGCGCCCGUUCGCCGCUCAACCUGGUGACUCUGAAUAACUUUCGGCUGAUCGCACGGUCCAGCACCGGCGACGCAUCUUUCAAAUGUCUGCCUUAUCAACUGUCGAUGGUAGGUUCUGCGCCUACCAUGGUCGUAACGGGUAACGGGGAAUCAGGGUUCGAUUCCGGAGAGGGAGCCUGAGAAACGGCUACCACAUCCAAGGAAGGCAGCAGGCGCGCAAAUUACCCACUCCCGGCACGGGGAGGUAGUGACGAAAAAUAACGAUACGGGACUCAUCCGAGGCCCCGUAAUCGGAAU
rnacentral:rRNA from 1 species